rnacentral:rRNA from 1 species
UGGUCAAGUUAUUAAGGGUGCAGGGCGGAUGCCUUGGCACUAGGAGCCGAUGAAGGACGUGAUAAGCUGCGAUAAGCUUCGGGGAGUUGCACGUAAACUUUGAUCCGAAGAUUUCCGAAUGAGGAAACUCCCUUAGAGUAAUGUCUAAGUAUCAUUAAGUGAAUACAUAGCUUAAUGAGGGGAACUCAGGGAACUGAAACAUCUAAGUACCUGAAGGAAGAGAAAGAAA